rnacentral:lncRNA from 10 species
CGCGCGCCUUCUCCACAUCCGGGCGUUUCCGGCCUUGGACUACAUUUCCCACAGGCGCCCGGGCGGUUUUCGAACUUUGAUCUCUGGUUCCCCUUCCAAAUUCUCAUAGUGCGUGGCUGGGAUGAGGGCGGCGCUCACGGUGAGGAAGCCCCGAGCUCCCGGGACGCAGACAGGGUGUGCAGGGCCGUAGCUCGGGCCUGUGUAUGCACCUGUGCGUGUGUGUUUGAUGCCAGGACAAGGCGGCGGUGUGCGCGGCGAGGAGGCUGCGACAGCUGUAUAGACCCCAGCUGCAGUGAAAUGGCCAUCAAAAAGGGAAGGGAUAAUCGAGUGGUGGAAUAAAAUCUGCAAACAGAAAAAGGACAGACCUGUUUUCGGAACGAGGCUUUUCGAGUUGUAAGUGUCCCUUAAGCAGAGUUCUGGGAAGACGUCGUGGGGAGAACCUAGGAGUAGGAUUCCUUCCUCAGAGGCUCUCCCUUGGGAACUCUCAGAGGUCAGGUUCCAUGUGAUCCACAUCAUUCCCAGAGCUGUCUCCGCAGGAGACUUAACGUGAAUUUUGAGAAAGUCCCCAGUCCUGGAUAUCAGUGACCCUGGCCUUUCCCUUGAAUACUAAGAAGGGUUAGCAGUACUCCCAUCUCCCUUUUACUUCCAUCUGAGUAUGUUUAUGGUAGAUGAUGAGAGCUCGUGUGGUGGCAAUAAUUUUUUCCAAUUUAGCCAAUCUGGGUUCCAAGAAAGGUCUGAUGUCUCAUGAUUCCUUACCCCUUCUCCCUUGCCUUGAGGUUCUCUAAGAGCCCUGAGGAAAGGGAACCAUUGCUGAGCAUAUCUGAAAACCAAGGUCAAGGAAGUUUUGUUGUAUUUUCUAUUUUUGUUCUCUUUGAUUUUGUUUUUCAGCAAGGGAGUAUUUUUUCUCCUCCUGAAAUGCUAGUCAGUGGUUAGGUUACUAUUAGGCAGGGCCUUGUGAGGUGCUUUGACCAAUAGAAUGUGGUGGAAGUGAUAUUGUGAGACUUCUGAGACAAAGCUUCAGGAAGUCUUGCAGCUUUUUCUCUUCCCCUUUUCCUGCCCUGAGACCACCAUGACUGAAGGCUAAGAGCAACUUGCUUGCGCAUUAAAGAUCACUUGGAGAGAGAGGUCCAGUGAGCAACAACGGCCAGAAAUUUCAGGGAGACCAUCUUGAACCAUCCAGCCUCCACCAGGCCAACAGCUGACAGCUGUCACAUGAAUAUGAUCAGCAGAAGAACCACUCAGGCAAGCCAAGCCCAAAUUGCCAAGCCCCCCAAAUAAUAAGCUAAUUGUUUUUUGUUUUAAGCCAUAAACUUUUGAGGUGGUUAUAUAGCAAUAAAUAACUGAAACAGGUGUUUAACUUUCUAGACUUUUUAAAUGACCAUAUUGAUAUAAUUGUAUUGUUCAACCUGUUUUGUAAAGUGAUUUCUCUGAUACAGUAUCUUGAAAAUAUUCCUUAACUAUUUUCUACAACUUUGCAUUUGUCUAUCUUAGUAUUAUAUUACAUGGAUAUGUGGUAACUUAUUUAACUACUAACUUCCCUUUGCAAUUCCUUUUCCUUGCUGUCUAGCUCCCAUGUCUUGACCAACUUUGCAUUCCCCUCCAGGACCUUAUGGGCACAUGGGUUCCUAUCAUUUCACGGGUAUGUAGACUCAGGAAUGUGGCAUUGACUUCUGGGUGGAGUACAGAUGACUGACACCCCCACCCCGAUUCGGAGGAAUUAUUCAGGGGUGUGAUAUAACACCUACAUACAUUUAUUUAACUAGCCAAUUUGGUCUCCCCUUUUUUUGUUUUGAGACCGAGUCUUGCUCUGUCGCCCAGGCUGGAGUGCAGUGGCGUGAUCUCGACUUACUGCAACCUCCGCCUCCCAGGUUCAAGGGAUUCUCCUGCCUCAGCCUUCCGAGUAGCUGAGACUACAGGUGCCCACCACCAUGUCCGGAUAAUUUUUGUAUUUUUAGUAGACAUGGGGUUUCGCCAAGUUGGCCAGGCUGGUCUCAAACUCCUGACCUCACGUGAUCUGCCUGCCUCAGUCUCCCAAAGUGUUGGGAUUACAGGCAUGAGCCACCUCGGCCAGCCGGGUCUCCCUUUUUACAUCUGUUUUCCCCUUUCCAGUUCAAAUUCUGUAUUCUGGGAACAUCUUACUUUCUUCACCCUGAUUGAUUAGGGAAACUUCAGGGUUCUUAGGUAACUUUCUGAAGGACUGGUUUAAGAUUCCUAGAGUUGGAAAUGGGCGUCUCUCCUGUGUUAUUUCUAAAGUGUUAUCAUCCUAAUCCUUCAGAAUACUUUCUUGACUUCUUUCUGCUUGAUGAUUAAGGAAUGGUCUCAAUUCUCCAUAGCCACAUCAGACCAAAAUUCCAUUUCUUUGCCUAUGUGAAGGGUUUAUUAUUAAUUACCCUAUUAAUUUAUGUCCAAACCAGAUGUGAUUUCCUUCUUGGAGCAAUAGUUCGUGAAGAGGUUGGUUAACAGCAGUUCUGUGCCCAGGUAAAUGAGAGGCAACUGAUAAGAGGAACUCGUUGUGUAUAAAAUCUUAGGAUUCUAGAUUUAGGACCUUUAAGGCAGUAUUUGAAUUAGUGCUCUGGAAUGUCUAUGAAGAAAGUUUGGGUCUCUUCAGCCAGAAUUCAGACCAUUUCAACAUUGCAUUCCAUGUAUCAUACACAUAUCUCCUUUUAUUAUUAUUUUUUCUGCUCUCAAAGCAGAUUUCUCUCAUUGUAAAAUUAGUAGAUUCUUAAUUCAGAAGAUUGGAGAAUAUUAAAAAAAGCUUAAAGUAAAGCACUUUGAACACUUUAUUCCAAAUCACUUCACCUCAUUUGUGAAUAAGUGCAUGGAUAUAGGCUUAUAGGACUUUUUCAUUCAAAACAGGGUUAUAUAACAAUUGUUUUGAAAUCUACUUGUUUCUUCUAACAAAAUAUAGUGAACAAAUUUUCAUGUCACUAAAUUAUGAACUGUGUCAUAAUCUUUUAAUGGCUGCACUGUUCUGUUUGUAUAUGUAAGUUCUUUCCAGCUUUUUCCCAUUAUAUGCAAUGUUUUACUGCAUAUGCCUUUUCUGUGCACAUGUGAAUUGUAUAUUUUGGAUAGUCUUAGAUAUUUUGCUGAGAAUGAGGUUUUCAUAGUUAAAACCUGUUUACACAUCUAUAUCAAUUGCCCUGAUUAAGUUUGCACCAAUAUUCAACAUACUAUGAGAAUGUCUAUUCGCUACUAUAUGGUAUCAUUAGUCUUUUAUUAUUAUUUUAUUUUAUUAUUAUUAUUAUUUGAGACAGAGUCUCACUCUUGUUGCCAGGCUAGAGUGCAGUGGCAUGAUCUCGGCUUACUGCAACCCCCGCCUCCAAGGUUCCAGCAAUUCCCCCACCUCAGCCUCCCAAGUAGCUGGGACUACAAGGCGCAUGUCACCACGCAUGGCUAAUUUUUGGUUUUUAGUAGAGACGGGGUUUCACCAUGUUGGCCAGGAUGGUCUCCAUCUCCUGACCUUGUGAUCCGUCUGCCUUGGCCUCCCAAAGUGCUGGGAUUACAGGCGUGAGCCAUUGCACCUGGCCAUCAUUAGUCUUUUAAAUCCACCAAUCCAGUAGAAAUUAUAUUUAUUUAAAUGAAUUACCCAUGCACAGGUUUCAUUCAGUGUAAUAAAAUAUGGGCUUCAGAAACAAAAACCAGAACUGAAAGAAAAUUGGUUUUGUAGGUAGAAAAAUGUGAUUUAAAAAUGCAGAUAUGCCAUUUAUUUUGAGGGUGUAUAGCUCACCCCUGUAAUCCCAGCACUUUCGGAGGCUGAGACGGGUGGAACACUUGAGCCCAGGAGUUUGAGACCAGCCUGGGCAAUAUGGUGAAACCCCGUAUCUACUAAAAAUACAAAAAAUUAGCUGGGUGUGGUGGUGCACCUGUAGUCCUAGCUACUUGGGAGGCUGAGAUGGGAGGAUCACCUGAGCCCAAGGAUAUUGAGGCUGUAGUGAGCCGUGAUUGUGCCAAUGCACUCCAACCUGAGCGUUGGAGUGAGACCAUGCCUCAAAAAAACAAAAACAAAAAACUCUUAAAAUCGAGGGAAAGACCCAAAAACCCGAUAGAAAAAGUGAGUAAAAGAAAUGAACACAUGAAAUCACACACACACAGACACACACACACACAAAGAGAGAGAGAGGAAGCACAAAUUUUAAAAUUAUAGCGUGCUGGCUUUUUAAAAAAAUAAACCCAGCUGGGUGUGGUGGCUCACGCCUGUAAUCCCAGCACUUUGGGAGGCUGACAUGGGCGGAUCACGAGGUCAGGAGAUUGAGACCAUCCUGGCUAACAUGGUGAAACCCUGUCUCUACUAAAAAUACAAAAAAUUAGCUGGGCGUGGUGGAGGGCACCUGUAGUCCCAGCUACUCGGGAGGCUGAGGGAGGAGAAUGGCGUGAACCUGGGAGGUGGAGCUUGCAGUGAGCCAAGAUGGUGCCGCUGCUCCCCAGCUUGGGCGGCAGAGUGAGACUCCGUCUCAAAAAAAAAAAAUAAUAAUAAUAAUAAUAAUAAAAUAAUAAAAAAAAAACCCAUGCAACCGCCAUUACAGACAUAGAAACUUUCCAACAUCCCAGAAGGCUCCCUCAUAUCUCUUCCCAAUCAUUAUACCUCAAAGUUAACCAUUAGUUUGACCUCUAUAAUAGAAUAGUUUGGUUUGGUUUUGAACUUCAUAUAGGUGGAAUCAUAUAGUAUGUACUCUUGUGUCUGACCUCCUUUGCUCAACAUUAUUUCUAAGUAUAUAGAUACAUAUAGAUAACAUUAUAUCCAUGUUGCUGUACAUAGUAGUAGCUUGUAAUUUAACCUUUUUUUUUUUUUUUUUUUGAGACAGGGUCUCAUUCUGUACUCCAGGCUAGAGUGACAGUGACACUAUCAUAGCUCACUGCCACCUCAAACUCCUAGACUCAAACAAUCCUCCCACCUCAGCCUCAGCUCCCCAAGUAGCUAGGACUACAGGUGCAUACCACCACCACACCCAGACAAUUUAAAAAAUUUAUAGAGAUGGGGUCUCACUAUGUUCCCCGGGCUGAUCUUGAAUUCCUGGCCUCAAGUGAUCCCCCUGUCUCUCAGCCUCUGAAAGUGCUGGGAUGACAAGUGUGAGCCAUAGCACCCACCCUUUAUCAUGUAAUUAUUUUGUUACUUCCCUCUUGUUCACUCUCUCUACAUAUAUCUGGUUGUAUGUCUUAAGUCUUAUACUACUAGAAAUUAGGAGUUAGGUUGAUCAGUAUAUACAAAGUUUCAGUUAUAUGAGAGGAAUAAGUUUUGGUGUUCUGUUGUGUAACAUGAUGACUAUAGUUAAUAAUAUUAAACAUAUGAACUGGGGGGGAACAAAUCAGUCUAUAACAAUUCCCAAUUAAAAAAAAAAAAAAGAAAACUUGGCCAGGUGCAGUGGCUCACACCUUGUAAUCUCAGCACUUUGGGAGGACAAGGUGGGCCAAUCGCUUGAGCCCAGGAGUUCAAGACCAGGCUGGGCAACAUGGUGAAACUCCAUUUCUACAAAAAAAUACAAAAAAUUAGCUGGGUGUGGUUGUGUGCCUGUAGUCCCAGAUACUUGGGAGGCUGAGGUGGGAGAAUCACUUGAGCCCUGGAAGUCAAGGCUGUAGUGAGCCGUGAUUGCACCACUGCACUCCAGCCUGGGCAUCAGCGUGAGACCUUGUCUCAAAGAAACAAAACUCCUCUUAAUGUCAAGGGAAAGACCCAAAAACCUGACAGAAAAGAUGGGUAAGAGAAAUUAACAAUUCACAAAAAAUAUGUAAAAGGGACCCUUAAAUGUGUAAAAAGAGAAAUACAAAUUAAAAUAAUAUGGAGACAGGCCAGGUGAGGUGGCUUACACCUGUAAUCCCAGUGCUUUGGGAGCCUGAGGUGGAAGGAUUGCUUGAGGCCAGGAGGUUGAGAUUACAGUGAGCUAUGAUUGCACCACUGCACUCUAGCCUGGACAACAAGCAAGACCCUGUCUCUUGGCAGGGGGAGAGGGGGAAUACUGAGACCAUUUUUAACCUAUCAAGAUGACAAAAAUUAAAAAAUAUAACAAUGUAUUCUGUUGGUGAGACAGGAUAUAGUCGGCUGACUGAUGACCCUGCAAAAAGAUAUGUCCAUGUCCUAAUCUCUGGAAACUGUGAAUGUUACUUAAUUUGGAAAGAGGGUCUUUGCAGAUGAAAUUAAAUUAAGAAGUUUGAGAUGAGUAGUUCAUCCUGGAUUGUCUGGGUGGGUUGGGUCCUAAAUCCAGUGACAAGCAACCUUAAAAGAGACACAAGGAGACUGGCAGACAGAGGAAGAAGAGGCAGCAAUGUGACCCCGGAGGUGGAAAUCUCAGUGAUGGGGCCAGGAAUGUCAAGGAAUGGUCAAGGAAUGGCUACAGCCACCAGAAAAAGAGGCAAAGUGAGGCUUCUCCCCUAGAAUCUCUAGGAGCGCUCCAGCCCUGCUGAUGUCUAGAUUUUUGGAGUUCUGGCCUCCAGAAUGUGAGAGAGUAAACUAUUGUUUAAAGCUACCAAGUUUGUGGUAACUUGUUAGAGCAGCCACAGGAAUGAAUGUACAGGGAAUCAGGCAGUCUCAUACACUGAUGGUGGGAAAACAAACCGGCACAACCCUUAUGGUGGGAAAUUUGACAACAUGUACAAAAACUACCUACACAUUUCCCUUGUGACCCAGCCAUUCCACUGUUAGGAAUCUGCCCUGAAGAUACAACUCCACCUAUUAAAAAAUACAGCCAUUAGAAUGGAUGAUGUUUACCGCUACUUGCUGACAAAGAAAAAUGUUCACUUGUGUUAAAUGAGAAAGACAGGUCUCAGAACAGCAACAAUGUUCUAGACGAUUCUGUUUUUUAAUACUCAGUAUAUGUAGAGGAGAUUAAAGGGAUUUAUCGUGAGAUGCUCAUAGGGGGCAACUGUUAUUUCAGAUUUCUUUUUUAAAAUUUUUAAUUGACAAGUAAUAAUUGUAUAUAUUUGUACAACAAUUGUAUGUAUUGUAUGUACAAUUGUAUAUUGAUGUAUAUAUUUGUACAAUAAUUGUAUAAUUUAUAUGGUACAAUGUGAUAUUUGUAUGCAUCAAUACAUGAUGGAAUGAUCAAAUCAGGCUGGUUAGCAUAUCCGUUACCUCAAAUAUUUACCAUUUCUUUGUGGUAAGAACAUAUAAAAUCCUAUCUUUUAGCUAUUUUGAAAUAUACAAUACAGUAACUAUAGUCACUGUGUUGGACAAAAGAACAGCAGAAUGUAUUCUUCCUAUCUAAACAAAACUUUGUACCUGUUAACCAGCAUUUCCCCUUUCCCCAUCCACCACAUCCCCACCCCCCAACCUUUGGUAACCACCCUCCUACUCUCUACUUCUAAGAGUUCAACUUUUUAGAUUCCACAUGUAAGUGAGAUCAUACAGUAUUUGUCUCUCUGUGUCUGGCUUAUUUCACUUAACAUAAUAUCCUCUAGGUAUACCCAUGUUGUUGCAAAUGACAGAAUUUCAUGUUUAAGGCUGAAUAGUAUUCCACUGUGUAUAUAUCCUCCAUUUAAAAAAUCCAUUCAUCCAUUGAUGGACACUUAGCUUGUUUCCAUAUCUUAGUUAUUGUGAAUAAUGCUACAGUUAACAUGGGAGUGCAGACAUCUUUGACAUACUGAUGUCAAUUCCUUGUGGGGUUGCUGGCUCAUAUGGUAAUUCUAUUUUUUGUUUUUUGAGGAAGCUCUACACUGUUUCCCAAAAUGGCUGUAGUAAUUUACAGUGCUCGCAACAGUGUUCCUUUUCUCUACAUCCUCACCAACACUAACCUUUCAUCUUUGUUUGUAAUAGCAGGUGUCUAACAGGUGCACGGUAAUAUCUCACUGUGGUUUUUUUGGGGGGGAUGGAGUCUCGCGCUGUCGCCCAGGCUGGAGUGCAGUGAUGCAAUCUCGGCUCACUGCAAUCUCCACCUCCUGGGUUCAAGCGAUUCUCCUGCCUCAGCCUCCCAAGUAUCUGGGACGACAGGUGCGUACCACCAUGCCUGGUUAAUUUUUUGUAUUUUUAUUAGAGACGGGGUUUCACCAUCUUAGCCAGGAUGGUCUCGAUCUCCUGACCUCAUGAUCUGCCCAGCUCGGCCUCCCAAAGUGCUGGGAUUACAGGCGUGAGCCACCGCGCUCGGCCCCUCAUCGUGGCUUUAAUUUGCAUUUAUCUGAUGAUUAGAGAUGUUUAGCAUUUUUCGUAUAUGUGCUGGCCAUUUGUAUGUCUUCUUUUGAGAAAUGUAUACAAGUCCUUUGCCCAUUUUUAAUAGGGUUAUUUGUAUUCUUUUUUUUUUUUUGAGACAGAGUCUCACUCUGUCACCUAGGCUGGAGUGCUGGAGUGCAGUGGGCGAUCUCGGCUCACUGCAAGCUCCGCCUCCCAGGUUCACACCAUUCUCCUGCCUCAGCCUCCUGAGUAGCUGGGACUACAGGCACCCACCACUACGCCUGGCGAAUUUUUUGUAUUUUUUAGUAGAGAUGGGGUUUCACCUAACCCCAAGGAUGGUCUCAAUCUCCUGACCUCAUGAUCCACCCACCUUGGCCUCCCAGAGUGCUGAGAUUACAGGCGUGAGCCACCGCACCCGGCCAGUUAUUUGUAUUCUUGUUAUUAAGAAGUGUGAGUUCCUUUUACAUUUUGAAUAUUAGCCCCUUAUCCAAUAUAUGAUUUGCAAGUAUUUUCUCCUAAUCUUUGGGUUGUCUCUUCAUCCUAUUGUUUCCUUUGCUAUGUGGAAUAGGAUUCUCUGUUUUCUUAAUUUUAAUGCUCAGUGUGUAUUUCUUUUAUAAUUAGAAACUCUAUAAGGCUAAUCCUUCCCUCCUUAAAACUGGAAGAAUUAUAGAAGGAGCUAUGGGCACACUGACACAGAGGCAUGAUGGUGAGGUGUCUUUGGGAACUCAGACUGAAGGGACCUCAGUUCUCUCCACUGGCCACUGAGGGAAAAGUUUCUCAAACAAUACCUUGAAGUUUUGACUCUUCAUAUCAGCUGAGCAUUUAUCUGCAAUGGCUUCCCUCUUCUUUGAGCCACCUUAACACAUUACUCUCCACACAUUCACGGCUAUCUCCUUUUCUUCAAUGGGGAAAUCACAUCUGGCUUAGAGAUAAAAGGUCCUGUAUAUAGGAAAAGAAAUUGGACUUAGGCCUGUUGUGGUGAUGUCAAUUCAGGGAGAGGAAAAUAUGAGACAGAGGAAGAUAAAGUCACUUUAGGUGUCAAGAAAAUGAAGCCUCAAUAAUAAAAACACAGUUGAGUGUUUGCAGCUAUAAAAAUGUCAGAUCAGUUCUUCCAAGGCUCUCAAGAGACUCACAAUGAAAGAAAAUACUCCCAGCAAGCAGAUUAUAAAUAAUAAAGGAAAAUAUUCUUUAAAAA